GGUGGCUCAGUGGUAGAGUGCUUGCCUUGCAUGCAGGAGGCCCUCAGUUCGAUUCCUCAGCACCA
rnacentral:tRNA from 1 species